GAGAGUAUAGCUUAAUGGUAAAGCACAUGUCUUCAAAAUAUGCAAUAGUGGUUCGAUUCCCUUUGUUUCCA